rnacentral:rRNA from 1 species
GACGAACGCUGGCGGCGUGCUUAACACAUGCAAGUCGAACGGAAAGGCCCUGCUUUUGUGGGGUGCUCGAGUGGCGAACGGGUGAGUAACACGUGAGUAACCUGCCCUUGACUUUGGGAUAACUUCAGGAAACUGGGGCUAAUACCGGAUAGGAGCUCCUGCUUCAUGGUGGGGGUUGGAAAGUUUCGGCGGUUGGGGAUGGACUCGCGGCUUAUCAGCUUGUUGGUGGGGUAGUGGCUUACCAAGGCUUUGACGGGUAGCCGGCCUGAGAGGGUGACCGGCCACAUUGGGACUGAGAUACGGCCCAGACUCCUACGGGCGGCAGCAGUGGGGAAUAUUGCACAAUGGGCGGAAGCCUGAUGCAGCAACGCCGCGUGCGGGAUGACGGCCGUCGGGUUGUAAACCGCUUUCGCCUGUGACGAAGCGUGAGUGACGGUAAUGGGUAAAGAAGCACCGGCUAACUACGUG